UUAUUUGAAACAGGAUACAACCUCUAACACUGGGUAAAUUACAGUAACCCAAACAAAGUAGGCCUAAAAGCAGCCACCUUUCAAAAAGCGUCAUAGCUUUACCUCCCUUACACCCAAUUAAUAAAAUCUCCAUUAACCCUUCACCAGUACUGAACUAUUUUAUAUCUUUAUAAAAAUAAUUAUGCUAGAACUAGUAACAAGAAUAUUGUCCUUCUCCUAAUGCAAGUAUGAAUCAAAAUGACACCCAAUGAUAAUUAACGUAGAUACAUAAAGUAUAGUAACAAAUACCAAGAAAAUUCUAUAAUUUCAAACGUCAACCUUACACCAGAGCAUUACAGGAAAGAUUAAAAGAGAAAGAAGGAACUCGGCAAACUUCAGCCCCGCCUGUUUACCAAAAACAUCGCCUCUUGAUUUCCAUAAGAGGUCCAGCCUGCCCAGUGACAAAGUUCAACGGCCGCGGUAACCUAACCGUGCAAAGGUAGCAUAAUCACUUGUUCUCUAAAUAGGGACUCGUAUCAAUGGCAUCACGAGGGCUUCACUGUCUCCUUUCUCUAAUCAGUGAAACUGAUCUCCCCGUGAAGAAGCGGGGAUUCUUCU
rnacentral:rRNA from 1 species